rnacentral:misc_RNA from 1 species
GGUUUUAUUGCAUUUUUAAUUUUCUUUUAUUUAUCUCUAGCUGCUGCUUCUUCUGUUACAAGCUCGAAGUCAUGGGAAGAAUUCAGAAAGUAUCGCUCCCAGCAUCCAGGCCCUCUAUCUAUGAGGGCCUUCCAUCGCUGGUGUUUGUAUGGGGACGACCAUCCCUCCUUUAGAUGGAGGGAUGGCACCCCAUACAACACGGGGAAUAGAGCGGAUGCUGGGAGGAGAAGACAACGUGGCGCA